rnacentral:rRNA from 1 species
GACGAACGCUGGCGGCGUGCUUAACACAUGCAAGUCGAACGGAAAGGCCCUACCUUGCUUGGGUACUCGAGUGGCGAACGGGUGAGUAACACGUGGGUAACCUGCCCUUCACUUUGGGAUAAGUUCAGGAAACUGGGGCUAAUACCGGAUAGGAGCACCUGCUGCAUGGUGUGGGUGAAAGAGUUUUCGCGGUGGGGGGUGGGCGCGCCGCCUAUCCGCUUGGUGGGGGGGGAGUGGCCUAACAACGCGUAGGCGGGUCGGCCGGCUGAGGGGGUGGACGGGCACAAUUGGGCUGGAGUACGGGCCAGACUCCUACGGGGGGGAGGAGUGGGGAAUAUUUCACAAUGGGGGGGAGCCUGAUGCAAGGACGCCGGGUGGGGGGUGGCGGGCUUCGGGUUGUAAACCCCUUUCGCUAGGGGCGGAACGGUGUGUGACGGUAACUGGAAAAGAAGCACCGGCUAACUACGUG